rnacentral:rRNA from 1 species
CCUACGGGUGGCAGCAGUGAGGAAUAUUGGUCAAUGGACGCAAGUCUGAACCAGCCAUGCCGCGUGCAGGAAGACGGCUCUAGGAGUUGUAAACUGCAUCUGUACGAGGGUAAACGCAGAUACGUGUAUCUGUCUCACAGGCUCACACGAAUACGGCUCGGCUAACUCUGUGCAAGCAGCCGCGGUAAUACGGAGGAUUCAAGCGUUAUCCGGAUUUAUGGGGUGUAAAGGGUGCGUAGGCGGUAGGGCAAGUUAGAGGUGAAAGCCCGGGGCUCAACUUCGGAAUUGCUUUUGAUACUGGACGGCUGGAGAACAGUAGGGGUAGGCGGAAUGCAUGGUGUAGCGGUGAAAUGCGUAGAGAUCA